GCGCCCGUAGCUCAGCUGGAUAGAGUACUGCCCUCCGAAGGCAGGGGUCGAACGUUCGAAUCGUUUCGGGCGCGCCA
rnacentral:tRNA from 4 species